rnacentral:sRNA from 1 species
GAGGAUGGCAGGAGGAGUGCUUGCAUGUUGAGCAGUCCUGAGAGUAGCUUGACACCACCUCUCUCAACCAACCUGCAUCUAGAAAGUGAGUUGGAUGCAUUGGCAAGCCUGGAAAACCAUGUGAAAACUGAACCUGCAGAUAUGAAUGAAAGCUGCAAACAGUCAGGGCUCAGCAGCCUUGUUAAUGGAAAGUCCCCAAUUCGAAGCCUCAUGCACAGGUCGGCAAGGAUUGGAGGAGAUGGCAACAAUAAAGAUGAUGACCCAAAUGAAGACUGGUGUGCUGUCUGCCAAAACGGAGGAGAUCUCUUGUGCUGCGAAAAAUGUCCAAAGGUCUUUCAUCUAACUUGUCAUGUUCCAACACUACUUAGCUUUCCAAGGUACCAGUGAAAUAAUUGAUUUUUGGUGUUGAUUUUCAUAAGCUAAAAAUAAAUAACAGAAGAUUGUUCAGGGCAGAUGGCCCUCUAACCAGUGCAUAGUAUUUCUAUAAAACAGGGAGCCUGUUAUUCUUUUGGUAUUAGCUUCCAGAGAAACUAACAAUAAAAUAUCUAAGAUCUAAGUAGUACAUGAAUGUUAAAGAGUAGAUUUCAUCUCCUGGCCUUUAGUUUAUAUUCAGUAUAAGGAAAAUAGAUAAAACUCUAAAUUAAUAGGGGGCUAAGGUUACAAAACCUGCAGUCUGGUUCUAAUUCUGUAGUAAGCUUGAGCAAUUCACUAAUUAUCAGGGAUCAGUUUUUGCAUCUACAAGUGGUAGGUUUUGGUUUAGCAGAGCUGUAGUUCUUCCCUUCCAUUUAUUAUUUUAUGUUCACGCAACCUCUUGUCUCUUGAUUUCAGAGACCAUAAAACAGUAGAGUCAUACUUGUUUUUUUCAGUCUUCUCCUUCCUCUCUUGUCCCCCAAUUUCUUUUUGGUGAAAGUAAAUCAGUAUUCUUGGGGUAAACCCAGCUUUUUUCUUGCUAUAAAUUGAAAAAAAAAAAAAAAGAUAUAUCUUCUCAAAUUCCUGAGAAGCAGUAACUUUAAUUGAAUAAUAGUGCCCUCUUUGAAAGCGUUAACCUUUUGGAUUAGAAAACUAAUAGAUAUUUAAACAGUGCCAGAAUAUUUUUCUGAAGAAUUGUAAUUUCUUACCUAAGUCUUUGGAGAUAGAGUUAUUUGCUAGAGAUGUAAUAAGGGCCUUCUUUUUCUUUACUCUUAUUUAGAAAAGAAAAGCAUUGGCACUUUGAUCUUGAAAUUAAGAAUUUUCUUUUCUUUGGGUAGUAAUAUUUACUGGAAUGUCAGAAUUUUGCCACUGAAUGCCUUCUUUCAAUAGCAAAUGCUUUGAAAGGAUUGUAAAAUGUUGGCGUAAAUUAGCCAGGCGUGGUAGCUCACACCUGUAAUCCCAGCACUUUGGGAGGCUGAGGCAGGCGGAGCACUUGAGGUCAGGAGUUUGAGACCAGCCUGGCCAACAUGGCAAAACCCCAUCUCUACU